rnacentral:tRNA from 1 species
CGGGGUGUAGUAUAACGGCAGUAUACAGGCUUCGGGAGUCUGUGGUCUGGGUUCAAUUCCCAGCACCCCGACAA